CAACAUGUUUUCAAAGAGUUUACGAAGAAAGAAUUGCUGAGACGGCGAAUCUUUCUGUUGUCUAACCUAACCUAACGUAACAUUACAACCAAAGUGACAUUACCGGUAAAGAACACGCCAGGUGUUCUUGCCAGGUUUUAUAUUAAUGUCCUUUAAUCCCUUGGUUAGUUCGCUCUUCAUCCAAUUAAAAUUGAAAGAGUAUUCUAAACUCUUUAUUUUGUUAUAAAUACCUAUAUAAAUGCAUCUUUCUUGUAUCUUUU
rnacentral:telomerase_RNA from 1 species